GGAUUGUAGCUGAGUGUUAGAGCGCUUGCCUUGCAUGUGUGAGGACCUGGGUUCAAUCCUCAGCACCA
rnacentral:tRNA from 1 species